GUGAUUUAUAUUAAAUGUAUAUAUUUCAGAUGCAGAUGAAUCCCAGGAUGCCACCUCAAGUCACGUGGUCUAUCAGAAUGAAGCUCAACGUAGUGAAUACUCCUCUCUUCUCCACUGUGAUGCUUCUGUCUAUGAAACAAUCAAAGGCUCUAAAGACUAUGAAAAUGAUGCAGGUGAAUCCAAAGAUGCCACCUCUUCUUCCAUUGAACUAAAAAAGAUUGGAAAGGAAAGGAAGCAGCAUUAACCAGAGAAGGGCGCUGUUUAGUCUGAUGUGAAGACCUGAACUGCAAGUACAGAAACAGAAAGUACAGAAAGUUUGUCCUGAAAUGUGAUGAAUCAUUACACUGGAGGUAAUUAUGGGCCAUCUUGCAGUUCAGUUAAACUCAAUUAGUCACCUUGGGUAGAUAUUUUAAACAGCCACUACGUGUCACCAGAGCUACAAAUUGUACUUUCUUACAUAUAUUUUGGGCCUUUUUUCAUAUGCAGUAUGUGAUUGUUAUUGUAUGUUAUACAUCAAAAGUUUACUAUAUAUGUUAAUCUCACAUAUUCAGUUUUACAUUUAUAUAUAUAUUUUUUUUACUAGUCAUGCUGUUGCAGAUUAUUGAAUUGAUUGUAUAUGGAAAUUUGUUUUAUAUAUAUAUAGUUUGGUAUAUAUGUAUGGACAUUUUUAAUGCCAACUUAAAUAGUGGCUGUAUAUAAAGAUGUGUUUAUUUUUAUUACAGUAUCAUAAACAUUUAUUUAUCUUCAUUUAGUUUUCCAGAAUAGACAGAAUAGAACUUUCUUGAGGUCUCAGAGCUAUUUUGACAAAGAUGAGUUGUUGACAGCAUUUUUAUAAAAUUAUUGUUAAUAUUACUGUUGCACCUGUUGUCCAAAUAUCCAACAAACUCCAUCAAUUAUCCAUCAAACAACUAGUCACAUUACAGAAGUUAACAGAGUCUAUAUAUUUUCAGUAUUAAAUAAGAACGAUCCAGGGUGAUCAUUAACUGUAAAAUAUGUUAAAUAAUGUGCUAUCAAAUAUAUUGUAUCACUGCAGAUGUACAUGCUUUGCUCUGUCUAAAAAAUAUAAUGAUAUCUACGUUAUGAAUUUCUGAUUUAUAUGUUUUGGGUUUUUAUAUUGUAUUUUUAUUUAGCAUUUUAUCCAUCAAUAAACUUUUUGGCUAAUUAAAACUGUCAAUUGGUUUGUGGAUCAUGUGAGGGUAACUGAGACAUUUGCUAUUGAAAGACAUGUUGCUGAUCAAUUUUUUCAAAUGUAAUUAAUCAUUUCAAACCUGGCUUUGCCUUCAAUCAUCUUUUGAUGCUUCCUAUUGAGAAAUAUACGCUGGUCGACCUUGUAUUCUGUAAAAGAUAUUGUGCUUUAAUUACUUUAUGUGAUGGUGUACUUUUAUUUUGUAAUGGUUUGCUUGUCUUGUGUGUGUGCACUUCCUGUUUUAUUUUGUAGUUUUGGUUCUUGUAUGUUGUGUCUGGGGUACAUCCCAAAGCUCUUAAUUUUCGCCUCCUCUAUCCUCGCUUGAACCGGAAGUUCUUUCGCGGCCGCCAUCUUUAAGAC